CCCUUAGAUGUCCUGGGCCGCACGCGCGCUACACUGACAUGUUCAACAAGCCUCCUAGUUCGACAGGAUUUGGGAAAUCUUUGAACGCAUGUCGUGAUAGGGAUAGAUCAUUGCAAUUAUUGAUCUUGAACGAGGAAUUCCUAGUAAACGCGAGUCAUCAGCUCGCAUUGAUUACGUCCCUGCCCUUUGUACACACCGCCCGUCGCACCUACCGAUUGAAUGUUUCGGUGAAGAUUCCGGAUAGGACUUUUUUGAUUUAUUUCAAUUUUGUCUUAAAAGCUAUCUAAACCUCAACAUUUAGAGGAAGGGGAAGUCGUAACA
rnacentral:rRNA from 1 species